UACGGGGGGUGCAAGCGUUACUCGGAAUCAUUGGGCGUAAAGGGCGCGUAGGCGGCCAGGUUAGUCAGAUGUGAAAGCCCAGGGCUUAACCCUGGAAGUGCAUUUGAUACUGCUUGGCUUGAGUAUGGGAGAGGGAAGUGGAAUUCCUGGUGUAGAGGUGAAAUUCGUAGAUAUCAGGAGGAACACCGGUGGCGAAGGCGACUUCCUGGACCAAUACUGACGCUGAGGCGCGAAGGCGUGGGGAGCAAACAGG
rnacentral:rRNA from 1 species